rnacentral:rRNA from 1 species
AUUGAACGCUGGCGGCAUGCCUUACACAUGCAAGUCGAACGGCAACACGGGAGCAAUCCUGGUGGCGAGUGGCGAACGGGUGAGUAAUACAUCGGAACGUGCCCAGUAGUGGGGGUUAACCCGGCGAAAGCCGGACUAAUACCGCAUACGACCUACGGGUGAAAGCGGGGGAUCGCAAGACCUCGCGCUAUCGGAGCGGCCGAUGUCAGAUUAGCUAGUUGGUGGGGUAAAGGCCUACCAAGGCGACGAUCUGUAGCUGGUCUGAGAGGACGACCAGCCACACUGGGACUGAGACACGGCCCAGACUCCUACGGGAGGCAGCAGUGGGGAAUUUUGGACAAUGGGCGCAAGCCUGAUCCAGCCAUGCCGCGUGCGGGAAGAAGGCCUUCGGGUUGUAAACCGCUUUUGUCAGGGAAGAAACGCUCCGGGCUAAUACCACGGAGUAAUGACGGUACCUGAAGAAUAAGCACCGGCUAACUACGUG